AAAUUAGUAUUUAAUGUAAAUUUAUGUAAUUUUGCAAAAGCACCCUUUUCUUGGCUGAAAUAUCUUUUCAACCCUCAAAAGUCUAAAUUUUCAUAUCGCUCACACCAAGCACAGCAGGCAUCGAAAGUCCUCCAGUUGCCAUGGCAAUGAAUGCCUUCUUGUUCUCUCUCAAACCCACGCUCAAAGCUUUACCUUCUCUCUCUCCUCCAACUACUCGUUCCCAACUGACUCCUCCUCCUCCAGUUCAGCCACGAAACCCUACUUAUGGCUUCCUUCAGAAUCCAAAAGCCAUGGUAGGUCUACUCGGAGUCGGGGCGGGCUUGACCCUAACCCUUAUGGGGCCCGCUUCAGCUAUCGAGUUGGGUUCUUUUCAACUCAGUGAGCCCUCCAACGCCCUUUCUCUUCCCACUUGGGCCGUUCAUGUUUCCAGUGUUGUUGAAUGGAUUACAGCAAUGGCUUUGGUAUGGCAAUAUGGAGAAAUUUCUGGGAAUGAAUCUUGGAAAGGCCUUUCUUGGGGUAUGGUACCCCUGCUGGGGGGAGCAUUUUGUGCGUGUACAUGGCAUUUCUUUUAUAACUCUGAGUCUCUUGAGGUACUGGUUGCUCUCCAAGCAGCCUUGACAGUUUUAGGCAAUGCCACAAUGUGUUUAGCUGCAUUUCGGAUAUACAAAUCAUCAGAAGAGCGUUCCAAGGAACUAUGAAGUCCAUCUAUAUGGUAUCCCAAAACACAUGAAUUGCUUCAUUUUAAAUGAAUUGGAAAAAUGAGACAACAUGAAGCUUCCCAUUUUUUUUUUCUUAACUUUGUGAAUUAGCUGAUGGCUGCAAGUGGAAUGAUUCAAGUAGUCUUUCAGUUAUAUAUAUAUAUAAAUGUAUGUAUGUAUAUAUACCUGUACUUUCGGAGAAUUCCAAAUUCAUUUAGCUGUGUAUUUUUUUUUUUUUUUUGAAGCAAGAGGAUUCAUCUGAAGCUUCUCUGGUUGGAUAAGCAUACGAGUACCAUUAAAAUAUUAUCUCCUUUGGCUUAAUUAUAAUGAAUAGCUUCAUCUGUGUUCUUUCCUUGGUCA